GCAAAGCAAUCCCAAAGCAAGAUUUUCUCUUGCUUUUCUUAUUUCAUUUGUCCUCUAUAACCUAACCUUAAUUCUUGAAUCUCUCAAAUUUACGUGUAUGUGAUUCUUGUUUUCUUCUCUUUCUCUUUUCAAUGGAGGGUUUUAGAUCCAAGUCUUGCAGAGAAGGGAGGAUGCAGAUAGAGGAAUAUUAUGGAGGCAAAGCAGGACCAACAAGAAUGCAAGAUUUAAGGUCUUAUAGUGUGAACUAUGCAGUUUCAACACAGCCAAAUCAAUUUGGCAAGGAAGUGAAGAUCAAGAAAGGGAAAAAAAAUCUUGGGUCAUCUUCAAAAAGCUGGAUUUUUAAUGAUCCUGAGCUACAAAGGAAAAAAAGAGUUGCAAGCUACAAGGUGUAUGCCAUGGAAGGCAAGAUGAAAGGGUCCUUGAGAAAAAGCUUUAGGUGGAUCAAGGACACUUACACCCAAGUGUUCUAUGGAUGGAGGUGACCAUUUCUAAUUCCCCUCUUAAUGUUAUGGAUGUAUGGGCAGUUUCUCUUCUGAAAAGUAUAAAUAUCAUUUCAGCUUAUCAAGAAUCUAUAUAGUAAGCUUGUGGACUUUCUUUUCUUCUUCUUUUUGCUCCAAAGGAAGCCAGAUCUGGGAAGUUGGAUCCUACUAUUAGUGAGUUUGAUGAAGAACUGUAAAAGAUUGGCUUGAUUUGGGGAUUAAAUUUUCAAUCUUAUGUAUCAGUAAUUUACUAAUCUGGGAUUUUGCUACUAUAAUAUUGGCAAAAUCCCAGAUU
rnacentral:misc_RNA from 1 species